GAUGAACGCUGGCGGCGUGCCUAAUACAUGCAAGUCGAGCGAACAGACGAGGAGCUUGCUCCUCUGACGUUAGCGGCGGACGGGUGAGUAACACGUGGAUAACCUACCUAUAAGACUGGGAUAACUUCGGGAAACCGGAGCUAAUACCGGAUAAUAUAUUGAACCGCAUGGUUCAAUAGUGAAAGACGGUUUUGCUGUCACUUAUAGAUGGAUCCGCGCCGCAUUAGCUAGUUGGUAAGGUAACGGCUUACCAAGGCAACGAUGCGUAGCCGACCUGAGAGGGGGAUCGCCACACUGGAACUGAGACACGGUCCAGACUCCUACGGGAGGCAGCAGUAGGGAAUCUUCCGCAAUGGGCGAAAGCCUGACGGAGCAACGCCGCGUUAGUGAUGAAGGUCUUCGGAUCGUAAAACUCUGUUAUUAGGGAAGAACAAAUGUGUAAGUAACUAUGCACGUCUUGACGGUACCUAAUCAGAAAGCCACGGCUAACUACGUG
rnacentral:rRNA from 1 species